GGAAUGAACACCACGAGAUGUCAGAAAGGGCGGCAUCACCAGAGACGUGUUCCUGCGGUGUGGCGUGGGGGUUGGAGUGGGGGGUCCCUGCCAGUCAUGCACCCAGUGGUACUUAAAAGAUUGCUAACAUUCAAGAAAGUUUAGGUUAAAAGAGUGCCAACUAUAUUAUCAAGUAACCAUUUCUGGUAUUUGGUGAUGACAGCAUUCAAGCUGGAAGGACCUCCAACCUUCUGUUCCCGGCCCUGUACCCCAGGAUCUGGCGAUGAGGACUGGGAACCAGGGGUCUCAUGUACCAGCGAGACCUCCUGCCGCCCUGGCCCUGACUCUCGGGCCUCGCGGGAUGGACAUGGGCUCAUGUCCCUCUGGGAAGCCUGACUGGAGAGGCACCUUGCCGUUCUGCAUCAGGUCACGUCUGUUAGGAGAGAAUGCCAGUGUCCCCCCUGCCCCUGACAUCAUGACAGGCUUUGGAACGUGCCAGCGGCAGCCCCCUGAGGAUGGAGCGCAUCUCUGGCUGCAGCAAUUGAAUUUUAAUAGAGCAAAUGGAUUUAAGCAAAA